GAUCUUGGCGCAAAUCCAAAAAUUAGGCAGAUUGAAGAAUUUUCCAUUUCAAAUUGUUUUCAUUCUGAGUGGUUUUGGAUGUGGUUUAUCACUCACACUAACUUGAAAUGUUUUUAUGCAACUAAUAGUUUGCUAUUUGCAUUACAGAAAGGAGGUGCUCUUCUUAAUACAGCAGUCACAAAGGCUAAAAGUCAAGCUAAGAGGGGCAUCCGGGACAUUAAGGGCAGACUUAAAGCAAGGG